ACAAUGUAAGGGGAACAUCUGGAAUAAAUAUAGUACAACCCCCUUAUCUGCAGGGAAUAUGUUCCAAGACUCAUGCAUGCUGUGUAUUCCUGAGACAAUGGAUAAUAGCAAACUCAAUAUUUUGACUAUACUUGGAUGGGAAGCAUGCAUGAAAUUGCACUGGCUUAGACCCACAAAAAAUAGGGGGAAUAUUUUUUGGGGGGGCUUGGGUAAAUAAAACCAUGGAUAUUGAAUCAAUGGAUAAAGAAAUCAUACUGCAUUGAAAUUUCAAAUUAGGUCAAUCACUAAAUAUUUAUCCUUUUUUUUUUAGCAAUCUCUCUCUUCUGUAUAAAGAAUUCAAAGGGAAAUAAAGCCUCAAAGGGAAAUAAACCCUCUGCCUUCAUGGGCAGAUACCAAGGUAAGGCAUUGCCUAAGAAGUAUGAAGUACAAGUGGGACCCGAGGCAGGAGGCAAAAUGGACAAAAGAGCAGAGAAAGAUACUGGCCUAGACUACAGCUUUCUCACUGUGACAAAGAUCCAGCAGGAUGGAAGGAGAGACUAACCCACUCAAAAGGAGGGGAAGGAGAGACUACACACAUGCACAGAUGGAAAGGCAACAGAAACAUGCCAGGUGACCCUAUGAAGGUAAUUAAAAACAGCUGCUGCAGAACACCUGGAUGCACUGGACAAUGUGUCCCUAAACAUACAGAGGUACUUCUGUGUAAAGAAACACAACUUUCAAGAUGUAUUGAUCCAGAAAUUGCAAGAUGUGUAUAAAAUGACUUUUCUCCCUCCUGGCUGGUAGAAGUGCUAGGUAAAAUGGCAUAAGAAAUUGCUUUCAUUAAAAUGAUAUUUCCUGUCUGCCCCUUACUAUUACAAUCAUAGCUUUUUCUCAUCACAUGCAC